CCCGCCGUGUUCCCGCUCUCCCCCUGCUCCUCCCAGUCCCUGUUCUCCGUGGGCUGCGUCGCCGUCGGCUUCUUCCCGCCCGCCCCGCUGCGCUGGGCCUGGAGCGACCGGGACAACCGGAGCCUGGGCGGGGCCGGGGAGGGCGGGGCCUCCUCCUUCCCCGCCCUCCGGAAUUCCGGCCUGGGCGGAUUCGUGGCCUCUUCCCACCUGAGCCUCCCGCUGGAAGAGGGGAAGGCCCGGAAGCCGUUCCGGUGCCGGGCGGAGCAUCCCCGGGGGAGCCGGAGCGUCCCCGUCUCCAACCCCGGCCCUUCCUACUCGACCCCCUUGGUUCCCGUCGUGACCCUGCACCCGCCGUCCCGCGAGGAAUUCCAGGGGCCCUUCCGGAACUCCACCCUCCUCUGCCAGGUCCUGGGGCCCCGCCCGUCCCCCCCCGUCCGCUGGUUCCGCAACGGCCACGCCCUGGAGGAGGGCGUGGCCACCCGGGAGGAGGGGGCGGGGCCUUCCGGAACCUUCCUGACCAGCAGCCGCGUCGUCGUCACCGAGGCCGAGUGGGAGCACGAGGCGGCGGCGGGCGGCGGCGACGACGUGCGGGUGGAGGCGGUGGCGCCGCUCUUCGCCGACAUCUUCGAGGCGGGGGCGGCCCGGCUGACGUGCCGGGUGGCCAACCUGGCGGGCGCCGAGGGGCUGGAGGUGGCCUGGCUGAAGGAGGACGGCGAGCGGCUGCCCACGGCCGUGGGGCCGCCGGCCCUGCAGCCCAACGGGCUCUUCGGCGCCGCCGCCGUGGCCUCGGUGUGCGCCGAGGACUGGGAGGCGGGGCGGACCUUCACCUGCCGGGUGGGGCACCCCGACCUGCUCUUCCCCCGCGAGGUCACCCUGCGCAAGCCCGACG